UGAGCAGGCCUCCCCGGUCAGCCGCCUGCCUGCCUCAGCCCUCCGUGAUCAAUCUGGUCAAUGGUACACAUCCUUUCUACACCCCUCACAAAAUACAGGCUUUGCAGCACAUUUGUAGACUGUUUAAACACCUGCCAGUUGGAUUCUCAUUCUUUACUAGUUACUGUCCUAUUAUUAUUAUUAUUGCCAUUUAUAUAGCGCCA